rnacentral:rRNA from 1 species
ACAAGCGGUGGAGUAUGUGGUUUAAUUCGAUGCAACGCGAAGAACCUUACCUGGUCUUGACAUCCCGGAGACCCUUAGGAAACUAGGGGGUGCUUCCAUCUGGAAGAAUCUGGAGACAGGUGCUGCAUGGCUGUCGUCAGCUCGUGUCGUGAGAUGUUGGGUUAAGUCCCGCAACGAGCGCAACCCUUGCCUUUAGUUGCCAGCAGUUCGGCUGGGCACUCUAAAGGGACUGCCGGUGUUAAACCGGAGGAAGGUGGGGAUGACGUCAAGUCCUCAUGGCCUUUAUGACCAGGGCUACACACGUACUACAAUGGCCGAUACAAAGGGCAGCGACACUGCGAGGUGAAGCCAAUCCCGUAAAAUCGGUCUCAGUCCGGAUUGGAGUCUGCAACUCGACUCCAUGAAGCUGGAAUCGCUAGUAAUCGUGGAUCAGCAUGCCACGGUGAAUACGUUCCCGGGCCUU